CUUGCAAACUGGAGAUGGCGACCGGCGCACGGGUGAGUAACACGUAUCCAACCUGCCGAUAACUCGGGGAUAGCCUUUCGAAAGAAAGAUUAAUACCCGAUGGCAUAAUUAGACCGCAUGGUCUUAUUAUUAAAGAAUUUCGGUUAUCGAUGGGGAUGCGUUCCAUUAGGCAGUUGGUGAGGUAACGGCUCACCAAACCUUCGAUGGAUAGGGGUUCUGAGAGGAAGGUCCCCCACAUUGGAACUGAGACACGGUCCAAACUCCUACGGGAGGCAGCAGUGAGGAAUAUUGGUCAAUGGACGAGAGUCUGAACCAGCCAAGUAGCGUGAAGGAUGACUGCCCUAUGGGUUGUAAACUUCUUUUAUAUGGGAAUAAAGUUUUCCACGUGUGGAAUUUUGUAUGUACCAUAUGAAUAAGGAUCGGCUAACUCCGUGCCAGCAGCCGCGGUAAUACGGAGGAUCCGAGCGUUAUCCGGAUUUAUUGGGUUUAAAGGGAGCGUAGGUGGACAGUUAAGUCAGUUGUGAAAGUUUGCGGCUCAACCGUAAAAUUGCAGUUGAUACUGGCUGUCUUGAGUACAGUAGAGGUGGGCGGAAUUCGUGGUGUAGCGGUGAAAUGCUUAGAUAUCACGAAGAACUCCGAUUGCGA
rnacentral:rRNA from 1 species